CAACGUUCGCCUCCACCUCUCUCUCUCUCUCAAUCGGCACCACCAGCCGCGACCGCCUCCACCUCUCUCUCCCUCCUUCUCUCCCUCAAUCGGUACCACCAGCCGCGACCGCCUCCACCUCUCUCUCUCUCAUUCCCUUCCACCACGCUGUGCAACUUCAGAUUACAGCUGGUAGCAUUGAAAAGGUCUGGUGGGGCAGGCAUCCCUGCAAGGCUUGUGGGAGAUUUUUGAAGGGGUGAGAAAGCUUCAUAAGGAGAUGGGAAGGGUGGUUGCUGCUAUGGUUUUCUUUGAGAGGGAAGAUUCCCAAUCAAUCUAAUUUGAAAUGUUUCUGAGUUUCAGUUUGAUGGUAGCAUUUAUAAGUUUUGAUCAGGUAGCAAAUUACUGAAAUUGAUCUGGUCAUCCAUCUCUUUAAUCAAAUUAAGCUUAAUAGAAGAAAGUUUCUAUUGGCCUAAGAUGCACAGAGACGUCUCCAAGCAUGUAGAGAGGUGCACAAAAUACUAGUCUGUAUACACUUAGAUUUCAAGGAGUGGAGAGCUUCUCAUUGUGCAAGUUGGCUAGUUUGCAAAUUGCCUGAUUGAGGCUAGAAAUUAAUUGCAGCAUAAAUCUGAGAUCAUUCAACGCAAGUUUACAAUAACAAAGGCACUGCUAUUCAAGGCUGACAGGUCAUCGUUCGACCGCCUUUAUCAACAGACCAUGUACAUGGAUGGUAUUCUCCAGUUUGCAGUUUGUGUCAACGGAACUGUGCUUCAGCGAUCCAGACCAUUGAUACUAUGGGCCCCCACUUUUAAAGGGCAUAUCUCGAAAACCAUUCAGAUGAGAAGACCCUUCCCAACCCAGUUGGAUGAUGUGGUUGUAUGAUGAACAUAUGGGAAUAUGAUUAAAUGAAAUGAUCGAUGUUUGGCUUAUCUCGAAAUGAAAGUCCUUUAACAAGGCUAUUGCUUUAGAUAAUUUUUAUUUUAUUUACGUAACCAAAAAAAAGCUGAUUGGAA